GACGAACGCUGGCGGCGUGCUUAACACAUGCAAGUCGAACGGUGAAGGGACCGGUUUUUGCUGGUUCUGGAUGAGUGGCGAACGGGUGAGUAACACGUGAGUAACCUGCCCCCUUCUUCUGGAUAACCGCAUGAAAGUGUGGCUAAUACGGGAUAUUCUGCGCCUGCUGCAUGGUGGGUGUGGGAAAGAUAUUGUUUCGGUGGGGGAUGGGCUCGCGGCCUAUCAGCUUGUUGGUGGGGUGAUGGCCUACCAAGGCGGUGACGGGUAGCCGGCCUGAGAGGGUGGACGGUCACACUGGGACUGAGACGCGGCCCAGACUCCUACGGGGGGCAGCAGUGGGGAAUAGUGCACAAUGGGCGCAAGCCUGAUGCAGCGACGCCGCGGGAGGGAUGGAGGCCUUCGGGUUGUAAACCUCUUUCGCCAGUGAAGCAGGCCUGUCCCUUUUGUGGGUGGGUUGACGGUAGCUGGAUAAGAAGCGCCGGCUAACUACGUG
rnacentral:rRNA from 1 species